CAAACCUUUACCAAAGAUCCUUAUACGGAUGAUCAAAUCAAUGAGGUGAAGAAUAAGUGGGCAAGAUACUUUAUUGAUGAGUGCAUUGCGUAGCUGUUGGAAAAUUUGUCAUCAUGCGCACUCAUCUUUUGCAAACAAUCUCAGUUAGUGCCUUUUGUAUCCAAAAGAAAAAGAUGGGAGGAUAAGGAAAAAGAGAAUCAAAAUGCCGAAUUGGAGUAGCAACACAUGACAUCAAGGUCGCUAGGAAAAUGGAUGCAUAUAGCGAGAUGAUAAAAGAUGGAGUACAAAUAUAUGACUAUUAGAUCUAGUUUUAGAUUACCAUACGAUCUGAAUACAUUAUUGUUGGAUGAUUUUGA